rnacentral:lncRNA from 1 species
UUAGUGAGAUACGUGACCGUUCUACUUCAUCUGCCAUUGAAUUUUUCACUAGAGCAUAUUGUAGCCCCCCUCUGAUUAUGAAUGAACUCUCCCAGGUAUGAAUGAUGGGAAUCCUUAAGCACUCUGAUACUUGAACAUUUGUUGAAAUGAAUUCAUCACACACUGAAAUUUUGCUUUUCAUUUGAAUCCUUAAGCACUCUGAUACUUGAAUAUUUAUUGAGAUGAAUUCAUCACACUCUGAAAUUUGCUUUUCAUUUUCGUGGAUGAUAUAAAGUUUUCAAGAAAUGAAAUUGUCCGUUGUACCCAUCUGGGCUCUAGAGAUGAAAUUGACGAGAAGAUAUAAGAUUAUUGUGAAUAGUCUCUAGAGCAAGAAUGAUAUUUUGAGUUAUUGCAAUAAAGGAAAUUCCAGGGGCUUUCCUGAGUAUGAAUCAUGCAUUUCUUGUUAGUUUCCUGACGCUUGCUAACCAAGUGGAAGAUUGACUGGUUGCUUAAAUGUUUAAGAUAAUCCAAUCUGGAUGAACAUUAAGUACCUAUACUUGCUUUUAUUUAUACACUAACUUUUGCAGCAUAGCUUUAUUUGUAAUCUUAGUCAGUCUUUUGCUCUUUGUGACAUAAAAUAAUCUCACUAACCUUCAUUAAAAUGCAGAUAAAAAAAGCCAAUUUUUCUGAUGAGAAUUUCUCGGUCAUCGUAAGCAAAUCUGCUAAUGAAGUGGUGGCCACUUACACGAAAGACGAAACAGGAAUGGACCUGGUAAUUCGUCUUCCGGCAUCUUACCCACUAAGGUCUGUGGAUGUAGAUUGUACCAAGAGCCUUGGCUGAAACAGGAAUGGACCUAGUAAUUCGUCUUCCGGCAUCUUACCCACUAAGGUCUGUGGAUGUAGAUUGCACCAAGAGCCUUGGCAUUAGUGAGGUUAAGCAGAGAAAGUGGUUAAUGUCAAUGAUGUCAUUUCUUCGUAAUCAGGUGUCUCCCACUGACUUACUUCUAAUCUGUGCAUCAUUCUCCCAUUCCAUCCCGAUUAUUUCCUGUCUUCCUACUAUUGUAAUCCGUCAAUCUCUCACCUGCUAUAUUCAAAUUUAUCGCCUUGAUAUAUGUAGCUGUUACAUUUAAUCUACUCUUUGAUCAUGCAUGUGUUUCCUUCUGAGGCAUACCUUUUCAAUUUAUAAUGUCAGUCUUCAGUUUUAAUGGUACUAAGGUAUACAAUGUCCCGAUUUUCAGGUAUUGUUAUUUUAGCAUCUUUGUUGUUAAUUAACUGUUUAGUGGCUGUUAUGUUUC